rnacentral:misc_RNA from 1 species
AGAAAUUAAGGACAAUUUUCGAGCUCUCUCAAAUGGGUUCCAGAGGCUGGAUAACAUCAAAGAUUCCAACAGACAAAGUAAACAGCUGGAGGAACUUACUGGGAAGAUGAGGGAGUGUAAAAGAUUGAUUAAAGAAUUUGAUCGUGAAAUUAAAGAUGAGGAGAACAAAAAUCCUCCUGAACUGAAUAAGCAAUUCAAUGAUGAG